rnacentral:ncRNA from 1 species
CAGAGUAGGAAAUCCCGCGUAAAGUGCCGUCCGGACGGGGAGUUGUCGGGCGGACGAAAAGUGCCUUCCGGCGCUUGCGGUGGGGUUUCCGCAUCCCGCUG